GAUAAAAAUAUUGACAGACAAAUAGUUUUUGAGAGCCCGUAAGACAACAACAGUGAGAAGGACCACCUGGAGUUAUUUCAGGGACGAGUCUCUGAUGGUUAACUUAGUGAUCGGAAAAGAAGAGAGAGAUGAAAGAGCAAGAGAACGGUUCUUGGCUCUGGUCUUAGAGAGAGAAAGUUCGGAGAGAGACAGAGUCAAUAUUGCUUACUUGUGAGAGAGAGUUUGUCCAUUUUCAUAGCGCAACUCUAUGCAUGUGAGGACGUGUCGACUGCCGUGCAAGCAAAUAGACAACUGACCCAAUCAUUCUCCUAAAGAAUGGUUGGUAGCUAGCCCAUCGUAUCAUUGGUGUUUAAGCCUAAACAUGUGGACGGUAAAAGAAACUUGUCGUGUAAGUUAUCCUUUGACCCAAAAGUUUGACUUGGGAAACUCCUCUAAGAUAAUCUCACUGAUAGAGCUAUCAUGUGAAAAUGCCGACCGAACUUGCUAUAAAGUGACAGCCCGGCGGCAGUGCUAGUCCAAGCUCAUCUAGGAGUAAAAUAUAAUAUUUUAUCCUCUCACAAUUUUCCCUCAUCUCGCAUGCACUCAGUCAAUAACUACAGAGGUUAUGUGAACUGGCUGUCCAAAAACCUCAAUUUGUGGUAGCUUGAAUGCAUGAAUUCAAUAAUGCCUACAAGCUAUCUUUUUGUUGUCCUUUUCGUGCCAUGUGUCAGCGUUUGGCUUGCUGUGGAGCUUGAUUAUGUCAUAAAACUCAAAGUGGCACAUCUACUUUUAGGCGUUGUUUGGGUGGGAAGUAGAGUGGUUUGAGUUCCCCUAUAAAUAGAGAACCCGAACUGACCUACUAUUCACCUUGCAUCUUGACCAUUCAAGAGAUCGAAAUUGAGAGAGCAAAUCAAAGCACCAACAAUUACCACCGUCGCAUCAUUGUUCCACUACCAUCUUUGACAACAUCUCCGUCGUUGACGACCCUAUUUUUCUUCACUAAUCAUCUCUAAACAACCGCUGUAAGUCCCAUUUAUAUUUUUUUUCAAUGUUUUUCGAUAUCUUUGCACUUUGAUAUCAUCUACGUCAGUUGCGUUGCCCAUAUGUUGCCGUAGAUCUUUAAUUUUCAUAUUCUUGCUUUCGAAAUGCCUAAGUUGCCUAUUUCAAAUCUUUCAUGGUUGCUCGUCUGCCACUGACGAGCGACUAUUGAGCUUAUCAGAAAUUGAGGGCUUUGGGUUUCCUUUCAAUUCAUUUCCACUACCGAAAUGGGUCUAACUUGUAUUUGUGCUGCUAGAUCUCGUAAUGGUGACUCAACAUCGUGUAGCUAGGCCACGUAAGGCAGAGCUCGAAACUCGAAUGCAAUUUGCUAGCUUUGCCCUUGUGUGUUUGCUUUAGACCCAAACUAGGCUAAGAGCUCGAACUAAUUGGUUUUGUUUUGUUUUACAACUUGGAACUUGAUCGAGCUCAAUAGUUAAUGCAUGACGAUAUUGCCUUAUAAAUAUUUAUGAGGGAUUACGAGAUCCCAAACGACGUCCUAAUAGAGCGACCCAGGGGUAGCCACUAUGGUGUGAGGGCACGGUGAUCGCAUCUCAAUUUGCAUGUGGCUGAUCCACUAAGCAAGACUUCAGUUCUUUAUCAGUCCAAUGUUAAAGGAGUUGAUGGUUCGCUAUGGCCUCAUCUUAAUUCAAGUGUUUAUAAGCUGCGUAAGGACCGUGCUCGUCGUUGAUAAUCUUGUGCAACAGGAAGGGCUACCAUUCUCCAUCUCCAACCUACUGAAUGUGUACACAAUAAUUCGACUGAAGUAUGAGCCUAGUAUGAACCUCUUUGAAGGCAACCAUUACCUCAGGCUUAGGAAUAGUCAGCAGCCGUGGUUCAGGCUAGUAAUCGACCCAAACUAGGACCUUUACUUGGAUGAGUUUGUUUAGGUCUCAAGAAAUUGAAAGUUCCAAUCCGAUGAUGAAAUGUUGUGGUCCUUCCCCAAAAC
rnacentral:lncRNA from 1 species